rnacentral:rRNA from 1 species
UACAGAGGGUGCAAGCGUUAAUCGGAAUUACUGGGCGUAAAGCGUGCGUAGACGGUUAUGUAAGUCAGAUGUGAAAGCCCCGGGCUCAACCUGGGAAUUGCAUUUGAGACUGCAUAGCUAGGGUGCGGAAGAGGGAAGCGGAAUUUCCGGUGUAGCGGUGAAAUGCGCAGAUAUCAGGAAGAACACCCGUGGCGAAAGCGGCUCUCUGGAACGGUACUGACGCUGAGACGCGAAAGCGUGGGGAGCGAACAGG